rnacentral:lncRNA from 1 species
GUGGGGCUAUAUCCUGCCUGUUUUGCCCUGUCCGGGGGUAUCAUCGGAUGGGGCCAUACUGUCUUCUGACCCCUCCUGUCUCAGCCUCCAGUAUUUAUGCUGCAGUAGUUUUUCCUAGCCACCGUGCUUCUACACCUGCAUUACUUGCUGUUUGGGAUUUUAGGCUGGGUUUCUGUACAGCACUUUGAGAUAUCAGCUGAUCCCAGCUAGCAUGGACAAUGACAGUUGUGAAACUGAUGCAGCCGAAGAGCUACUGCCCCCUUACCCGGGAAAGCACCGAACAACAGUCAGGGAGCUUGGACCAUCAAAGAGGCGCAAAAAUGAUGAGAACUACAUUGAUUUGGGGUUCAUUUAUAUUGGGAGUAGUGCCUUUCCUCAGCCACAGUGUGUUAUAUGUGCAAAAGUACUAUCUCACAACUCGAUGAAACCUUCACUCUUGUGCUGACAGUUAGAAACAAAACAUGCCAAUGUUUCGAAACAAUUACUGCUUCAUAUACAAGCCAGUGAAUUCUAUGUGUUAUAGCUGGAUGAGUCAACAGACGUGGCGAGCCUGGCACAGCUCCUGAUAUACAUAUGUCCGUUACGUUUCUGGGGGGUCAAUUAAGGAAGACUUCCUCUUCUGCAAACCACUGGAAACCAGGACAACAGGAGAGGAUAUUUUCAAAGUACUGGACAGCUUUGUGACAUCAACUGUGGUCGGUGGUCAAGAUGUGUUGGUAUCUGUACUGAUGGUGCAAAAGCCAUGACAGGGAGACAUAGUGGAGUGGUAACGCGUGUGCAAGCAGUUGCUCCCGACGCCACACGGGUUCACUGCAGCAUCGAGAGGCUCUUGCUGCCUGGGAAUGCCUGACAGCUUGAAAGACAUUUUGGACAUUACAUUGAAAAUGGUUAACUUUGUUAAAGCAAGGCCCCUGAACUCUCAUGUAUUUUCUGCACUAUGCAAUGAUUGUCAUGUCCUGACCAGUAAAGGGGUUAUUUGUUAUUAUAGUUUGGUCAGGAUGUGGCAGGGGGCGUUUGUUUAGAGUGUUGUGGGGUUUAUUGGGUAUGUUAUUAUGUAAGAGGGGUGUCUUUGUUUUGUGUUGUAGGGGUUUUUGGGUAUUGUUCUGGUUUUGUAUUUCUAUGAUUUUCUAGGUUGUGUAUUUCUUUGUUGGCCUGGUAUGGCUCUCAAUCAGGAACAGCUGUACAUCGUUGUUGCUGAUUGGGAGUCAUACUUAGGUAGCCCUUUUUUCAUUUGUGGUUUGUGGGAAGUUGUUUUUGCAUAGCUGUGUGUGUAGCCUGCAAUACUGUGCGUUUAUUCAUUUUCUUGUUUUGUUUUAUAAGUGUUCAAUAAAAGUAAAUAUGAGCACUCAACCCGCUGCGCCUUGGUCUACUCCAUAUGACAACCGUUACAAUGAUAUGGGCAGCGACCAUGUAAUGCUUUUACAACAUACAGAAGUUUGCUGGUUAUCAAGGGGCAAAGUAUUGACACGUUUUUUACAAUUGUGAGACGAGCUUAAAGUUUUCUUUAGUGACCAUCAUUUUCACUUGUCUGACCGCUUGCAUGAUGACAAGUUUCUCACAUGACUGGCCUAUCUGGGUGAUGUUUUUUCUCGCCUGAAUGAUCUGAAUCUAGGAUUACAGGGACUCUCCGCAACUAUAUUC